GGCCGGGCGACCGCGCAAUUUUGGGCAUCCCAUCGUGUCAGGUCCGAAAGGAAGCAGCACAGCGAUACCCAUAUGUGCCGCGGGGACCCGGCUCUU
rnacentral:SRP_RNA from 1 species